rnacentral:rRNA from 1 species
CAGCCGCCGCGGUAAUACGUAGGGUGCAAGCGUUAUCCGGAAUUAUUGGGCGUAAAGAGCUCGUAGGCGGUCUGUCGCGUCUGCUGUGAAAUCUGGGGGCUCAACCCCCAGCCUGCAGUGGGUACGGGCAGACUAGAGUGCGGUAGGGGAGAUUGGAACUCCUGGUGUAGCGGUGAAAUGCGCAGAUAUCAGGAAGAACACCGAUGGCGAAGGCAGAUCUCUGGGCCGUAACUGACGCUGAGGAGCGAAAGCAUGGGGAGCGAACAGGAUUAGAGACCCCUGUAGUCCCUGUCUCUUAUAC